rnacentral:rRNA from 1 species
GCCUGCCCACUGAUUUUUUAAAUGGCCGCAGUAAUUUGACUGUGCAAAGGUAGCAUAAUCAUUAGUUUUUUAAUUGAAAGCUAGAAUGAAUGGUUGGACGAAAUAAAAUCUGUCUUUAUUUAAAUUAUUUUAGAAUUUAAUUUUUAAGUUAAAAAGCUUAAAUAUUAAUAAAAGACGAGAAGACCCUAUAGAUCUUUAUAUUUUUUUAUAUAAUUUUAUUUAAGAUUAUUUUAUUUUUUAUAUAUAAAAUUAUUUUAUUGGGGUAAUUAAAAGAUUAGAUAAAUUCUUUUUUUUAUUUUAUAUAGAUUAAUAGAUUAAUGAUCCAAAUUUUUUUGAUUAUAAGAAUAAGUUACCUUAGGGAUAACAGCGUAAUUUUUUUUGAGAGUUCAUAUCGAUAAAAAAGUUUGCGACCUCGAUGUUGGAUUAAAAAUUAUUUUAGGUGUAGAAGUCUAAAAAUUUGGUCUGUUCGACCAUUAAAUUUUU